GACGAACGCUGGCGGCGUGCUUAACACAUGCAAGUCGAACGGAAAGGCCCUGCUUUUGUGGGGUGCUCGAGUGGCGAACGGGUGAGUAACACGUGAGUAACCUGCCCUUGACUUUGGGAUAACUUCAGGAAACUGGGGCUAAUACCGGAUAGGAGCUCCUGCUGCAUGGUGGGGGUUGGAAAGUUUCGGCGGUUGGGGAUGGACUCGCGGCUUAUCAGCUUGUUGGUGGGGUAGUGGCUUACCAAGGCUUUGACGGGUAGCCGGCCUGAGAGGGUGACCGGCCACAUUGGGACUGAGAUGCGGCCCAGACUCCUACGGGAGGCAGCAGUGUGGAAUAUUGCACAAUGGGCGGAAGCCUGAUGCAGCAACGCCGCGUGCGGGAUGACGGCCUUCGGGUUGUAAACCGCUUUCGCCUGUGACGAAGCGUGAGUGACGGUAAUGGGUAAAGAAGCACCGGCUAACUACGUG
rnacentral:rRNA from 1 species